AAUGAACGCUGGCGGCAGGCCUAACACAUGCAAGUCGAACGGAUCCUUCGGGAUUAGUGGCGGACGGGUGAGUAACGCGUGGGAACAUACCCUUUGGUACGGAAUAGCCUCGGGAAACUGGGAGUAAUACCGUAUGUGGUCGAGAGACGAAAGAUUUAUCGCCAAAGGAUUGGCCCGCGUUGGAUUAGGUAGUUGGUGGGGUAACGGCCUACCAAGCCGACGAUCCAUAGCUGGUUUGAGAGGAUGAUCAGCCACACUGGGGCUGAGACACGGCCCAGACUCCUACGGGAGGCAGCAGUGGGGAAUCUUAGACAAUGGGGGAAACCCUGAUCUAGCCAUGCCGCGUGAUCGAUGAAGGCCUUAGGGUUGUAAAGAUCUUUCAGGUGGGAAGAUAAUGACUGUACCACCAGAAGAAGCCCCGGCUAACUCCGUGCCAGCCGCCGCUGUAA
rnacentral:rRNA from 1 species